GAGUUUGAUCAUGGCUCAGAGUGAACGCUGGCGGCAGGCUUAACACAUGCAAGUCGAGCGCCCCGCAAGGGGAGCGGCAGACGGGAGAGUAACACGUGGGAACGUACCUUUCAGUUCGGAACAACCCAGGGAAACUUGGGCUAAUACCGGAUACGCCCGUAAGGGGAAAGAUUUAUCGCUGAAAGAUCGGCCCGCGUCUGAUUAGCUAGUUGGUGGGGUAAUGGCCCACCAAGGCGACGAUCAGUAGCUGGUCUGAGAGGAUGAUCAGCCUCACUGGGACUGAGACACGGCCCAGACUCCUACGGGAGGCAGCAGUGGGGAAUAUUGGACAAUGGGCGCAAGCCUGAUCCAGCCAUGCCGCGUGGAUGAUGAAGGCCCUAGGGUUGUAAAGUCCUUUCGGCGGGGAAGAUAAUGACGGUACCCGCAGAAGAAGCCCCGGCUAACUUCGUGCCAGCAGCCGCGGUUA
rnacentral:rRNA from 1 species